rnacentral:rRNA from 1 species
UGUAGUAGGGGCAGAGGGAAUUCCUAGUGUAGCGGUGAAAUGCGUAGAGAUCAGGAAGAACACCGGUGGGGAAGGCGCUCUGCUGGGCUAUAACUGACACUGAGGGACGAAAGCUAGGGGAGCGAAUGGGAUUAGAUACCCCAGUAGUCCUAGCGGUAAACGAUGGAAACUAGGUGUGGCCUGUAUCGACCCGGGCCGUGCAGAAGCAAACGCGUUAAGUUUUCCCGCCUGGGGAGUACGCACGCAAGUGUGAAACUCAAAGGAAUUGACGGGGGCCCGCACAAGCGGUGGAGUAUGUGGUUUAAUUUGAUGCAACGCGAAGAACCUUACCAGGACUUGACAUCUCUGGAAUCUCCUUGAAAGGGGAGAGUGCCGUAAGGAACCAGAAGACAGGUGCUGCAUGGCUGUCGUCAGCUCGUGUCGUGAGAUGUUGGGUUAAGUCCCGCAACGAGCGCAACCCUCGUCGUUAGUUGCCAUCAUUAAGUUGGGAACUCUAGCGAGACUGCCGGUGACAAACCGGAGGAAGGUGAGGAUGACGUCAAGUCAGCAUGGCCCUUACGUCCUGGGCGACACACGUAAUACAAUGCGAGGGACAGAGAGCAGCCAACCCGCGAGGGAGAGCGAAUCUCAUAAACCCUGGCACAGUUCAGAUUGCAGGCUGCA